CAGUGUCGUCUCUCAGGAGCACCUGCAUACACUGGAAGAUUGUUGGUCCCUUCUGGAUCUCCGUACUGCAGCGCUCACAUACUCAGGAAAACAUUUAAUCAUUUCUAACUAUAGUGAAGCCCAGCGAUCUCCUUAUCUUACUCUCUGGGAUACACAGAAUGGCAGGGUGCAAAAGAGACUGAAAAACGAACCUGGGAUUUGUUGUGUGGCCAUUACAGACGAUGCCAGCAGAAUUGCCUUUGGCAUUGCAGUGUCUAAUAAAUUAAAAGUGUGGGAGCCUUUUAGGAGAAAGCACAAGACCAUCUUGGGAUAUCGGAGCCUGAAGCUGAGUGUGUCCAGCAAGCUUUACAUCACAAACGGAGGAACCAAAGCCAUUUUGCUAGCAG